rnacentral:rRNA from 1 species
UACGUAGGUGGCAAGCGUUGUCCGGAUUUACUGGGCGUAAAGAGCGCGCAGGCGGUCGUUCAAGUCGCGUGUGAAAGCCCCCGGCUCAACUGGGGAGGGUCACGCGAUACUGAUCGACUCGAAGGCAGGAGAGGGAAGUGGAAUUCCCGGUGUAGUGGUGAAAUGUGUAGAGAUCGGGAGGAACACCGGUGGCGAAGGCGGGUCUCUGGGCAAUUCCUGACGCUGAGGCGCGAAAGCGUGGGGAGCAAGCGGG